rnacentral:sRNA from 1 species
ACAUCUGUUCACUUGGAAACAAUAUACGUGUACGCAGAAGGCGGAACUGGACAAAUAUGCAUUAAGGAUUGGUUUUACAGGAAACAUCUAUUGUAAAGACAAAUUAAAUCACAAGACAGGUUGUAAAUUCAAAGUAUGGAAUCGUAUCGAGUUCAAAUUGUUACAUUCUGCGGACCCUGGAUCUACAAAAAUGUUUACAUACUAAAGAAAAUGGCGAACGGUAAUGGCCGCCACUGUUUUCUGCAUUAGGGUAGUUUUAACAAAAGAAAUUCUGUCCAUCGUUAUUAAGUGUAUCAAACAGCAGUUUUAGGGGUUUUAUGUUUUGUUAGAGAUGAAAUUCACUAUCUACGGAACACAGAUACAUGCAAACAUAAACUCUUGUUUAGUAACACUCAAUUUUUAUUUGAUUCAUUUUGAUUUUUCAUUUACAUAUUUCAAAUAUCACCAAACAUAUCCAACAAUCUUGUGAAUAUUUAAUCAUUGAAUGAAUGAAUAUCAAUACUAGUACAUGUUUAAGGUAGGUUAAUGUACAUAGUAAUCAAAUUUGUUGGCACAGAUCUACAACUGGUUUUUUUUUUCAUAUUGAAAAUUACUAAUUCAAUUUAUUUGUAUUUUGAAUUAUAAGCAAUUAAUGUACUUCAAUUUGCAUGCGACCUUCGAAUUUUCUAAUAUAGAAACUUUAGCUUAUAAAUAGUGAUUUUAUUAAAAAUAUAUGUUACAGAAAAACAAAACUAAUAAAUAUCAAACAUUUAUAUCUUCUGAUAAUAGUGCCAGGAUUUUAAUAGUGUACGUGUACUCUUUAGGAGUAUCAUAAUUAUAUUUUGUAUUGUUUGUACAUGUACUAAUUAAUAUAUGUUAGCAAUGUUAUUGAAAUGUAUGCUACAGAAAAUAAAAACUAA